CUACGGGGUGCUGCAGUGGGGAAUAUUGGACAAUGGGCGAAAGCCUGAUCCAGCAAUGCCGCGUGAGUGAUGAAGGCCUUAGGGUUGUAAAGCUCUUUUACCCGGGAUGAUAAUGACAGUACCGGGAGAAUAAGCUCCGGCUAACUCCGUGCCAGCAGCCGCGGUAAUACGGAGGGAGCUAGCGUUGUUCGGAAUUACUGGGCGUAAAGCGCACGUAGGCGGCUUUGUAAGUUAGAGGUGAAAGCCUGGAGCUCAACUCCAGAAUUGCCUUUAAGACUGCAUCGCUCGAAUCCAGGAGAGGUCAGUGGAAUUCCGGGUGUAGAGGUGACAUUCGUAGAUAUUCGGAAGAACACCAGUGGCGAAGGCGGCUGACUGGACUGGUAUUGACGCUGAGGCGCGAAAGCGUGGGGAGCAAACAGGAUUAGAUACCCGUGUAGUC
rnacentral:rRNA from 1 species